rnacentral:piRNA from 1 species
UUGGUUGGUGAAGAAGUUGCCCAGAGCUUU